CUACAGGGCGCGUGCGCAGUGGGACUUGAGAGCCCCUGGUCCCUGUCUGCCGGCAUUCGGCGGCUGCGUGGCCCGGAGGUGGGGCCGGCUUUCCGGUGCCGCGAGGGCGGGUCCGGACAGCCUUCCCCCAAGUCCGGCGCACCAUCUCCCUGCCUUGUGGCUGGAGGCGCCGCGGACCCAAAGGGAGGGACCAUCCCGGGAAGCAGCCCCGAGAGCGGAAGUGCAGAAUGGCUUCCUCGAGGGAGUAAAGUACAGCCUCCCCAGACACUGGGGCCCAGGUGGGCGUGGGCGAAGUUGCUGGUAGGAGGAGUUGGCGGAAGCACUUGGAACUCCCUUGUGUCAGUUGAGAGGUAAAAACUGUUGAUGAGAUCUUCUGGGUUUUGUUUUGGGUUCACGAAUUUUACGAGUAUUUCCUUGGGCGGGGGCUACAUAACUGCCUACUUGAGUUUGCAAUAUGAGAAUGGUAAUAGCGACCCACUUAGCAGAAUUAUGAUGCCACAAAGCUCAAAGGAGUGUUUAAUGAAAGGCUCAGAGGAUCAUAUACUGGAAAAUUUUUCCACACACGGUGGAAGCCACAUGCUUUUUUUUUUUUUUUUUUUAAGUCAUGCAUUUAAGUGCUGGAGUGAAGUUGAGGUGCACUAUUAAUGACUCAUAUUCAGAACUUGAAGAGAGAGAUGCGUUUUGUGCUAAGUAUGAUAUCCACUCAUUUAUUCAGUAAUACUGAGUGCUUACUGUGUACCAGGCAAUGUCCAACUUCUUGGAAUGGUCUAUGUGUAAACAAAACAAAGAUCUCCCCUGUGGAGUUUACAUUCUAGUUUGGGGAAGACAAAUGAUAAACAGUAAACAAAAAGAAGCAAGUUAUAGGUUGGAAGGACAUGAGUACCAUAGGAAAAAAAUACAGCGAAGUAAGAGGCAUGGGGAAUGCAAGAUGCAAUCUUAGGUAGGCUUCACUGAGAAAAUGACAUUUGAGCAAAUAUUGGAAGGAGGUGAAGGACUUAGCUGUGCUGAUAGCUGGGGAAAGAGCAUUCCAGGCAGAGGGACGACCAAUGCAGAAAGACUUUUGACUUGGAAAUGUGCUUGGUGUCUUCAGUGAACAGCAGAAAGGCCUGUUUGGCUGGAGUAGUGAGUAAGGGAGUAGUAAUAAAAAUUAGGUGGCAACACAGCAAAAGUAUAGUCAGAACGGUGGAGUGUCUGAAUCACUUAAGUUGUCCUCAUGUGAAGGUAAUUACCUAUUAGCUUAGGUAAGAUUUCACAGCUUAACUACAGUCAUUAAUUAGUAUGUGAAGUUAAUGACUAAAAUUAGACUUUUUCCAAAAUAGAAUAUAGAUGAGAUCUAAACAUGGCUGUAGUUUCCAGCAAGCACAAUGCGAAUUAAGACAGAGGAGCUUGUUGUAAAAAACUUUUAUUUGCCCUUAUUUAAGAUUUUAGUGAAUGUGGAAACACCUCAAUUUUGUCUUCGUUUAGAAAUUUGUCUAAAUAUAGCUCUACCAGUAAAAAACAAACAAACAAAAAACAGGCAUAGUGGCUGACACCUGCAAUUCCAGCACCUUGGAAGGCCGAGUUGGAGGGAUUGCUUGAGCCCAGGAUUUUGAGACCAGCCUGGGCAACAGAGCAAGACCCUAUCUCUACAAUUUUUUUUUUUUUAACUAACUGGGUGUGGUGGUGCACGUCUGUAGUCCCAGCUCCUUUGGAGGCUGAGGUGGGAGGAUCCUUUGAGCCUGGGAAGAGGUCAAGGCUGCAGGGAGCUAUGACCUGUGCCACUGCACAGGUAGCAGAGUGAGACCCUGUCUCAAAAAAAAAAUUUUUUUUAAUAUAAAUAUACUGUGGCAAACAAAUGACUAAGAAGACACCUGUUACUUCAGGGAAAUUACAAACUGGUAGAGUAGACUUGCAAAUAAUGUAAACAAAAUAAGAAAGAAUGAAAAGAGUGUGCUAAAAGAACAAUACAAAGUAAAUGCUAAAAGAAACAUCAUCUGAAUAUUAUUGUAUGUAUUACGGCAGUAGUUCCCUUUGUUUCUCAUUUUGUCCUUGAACAUCUGCUUUUCUGGAGUGAUGAUUUGAUUGUCGAUUUUUUCAUAUUUAACAAAUUUAGAUUUUUUGGAAAAUCAUUUGUAGAAUGCAUUGUAUAUGCCAAAUAAGUGCAGAAUUUAUAAACUAAAGCAUCUAUUGAUUAACAUUGCACUAACAGGUACUAUGUAAUAUUCAUUGCUCUCCCUGCUGGAAUUUGUAACUUUUCCAAAACUAUGCCAUUAAGCCAUACUUCUCAUAUCCUUUUCCCUCUUCAGAAGGAAGAGGUUUCUUUGUUUCUGGUUUCUUUGGCAGUGUUGACUGCCAGAGUAUGUAGAGUGACUAUUUGUAAUUUGUAUAUUCAAUACAUAUAUUUCUUCAGUAUAAAAUUCUGCUAUCCAAGUGUUAAGAAGUUUUAGUGGCUAGAAGAAAUAAUGAUAUUUUAUGGUGGAAGUGUGGAGCUGUCUGAACCAUAUGAAAGCCAGGAAUCUGUAGUUUGAGACAUACCAGGGUAAACUGUUGGUCACUUUCAGCAUCAAGCAGAAAAAGGCUAACCACUCAAGUACAGCACAGUUUACAAGCAGUAUGAUGAUGAACAUUAGUUGAUGACCUGUAUAGGUGAUUGGUACCACCAAAGUGCCUGUCUUAGAGAAUGAAAUCUGGACAGAGAGGAUGUAUUCAACAAUCCUACUAGGGAGGUAAGUGGCUUGUGGCAGGAUCAGUACUGGGUUCAGGUGCAUGAUCCUCUCCCCGAAGGAGGUAAGGUAUGACGGGAACU
rnacentral:sRNA from 1 species